UACAGAGGUGGCAAGCGUUGUUCGGAAUUACUGGGCGUAAAGCGUGCGCAAGCGGCUUCGCAAGUCAGACGUGAAAUCCCCGGGCUUAACCUGGGAAUGGCGUUUGAAACUACGGAGCUGGAGUGUGGCAGAGGGAGGUAGAAUUCCACGUGUAGCGGUGAAAUGCGUAGAUAUGUGGAGGAAUACCGAUGGCGAAGGCAGCCUCCUGGGCCAACACUGACGCUCAUGCACGAAAGCGUGGGGAGCAAACAGG
rnacentral:rRNA from 1 species